GGGCCCGUGGUGAAAUGGUUAUCACGUUAUCUUCCGGAGGUAUAUGGUUGCGGGUUCGAGUCCCGCCGGGCUCU
rfam:Candida arabinofermentans NRRL YB-2248 unplaced genomic scaffold CANARscaffold_20, whole genome shotgun sequence.